rnacentral:sRNA from 1 species
CCUGGAAGCGCGAGGCGGGCAUUUCGGAAGAGAGUGGUGCGGCGUGGGGCGCCGCGAGGGCACUACGAGCCCAGGAGCUGCCGCGCCGGGCCGAUUUUCCGCGGCUGUAUAAGGACUAGCGCUUCGGUAGCCGGGGAGCUGGAGGGAACCUGAUUUGAGAUCAAUUCUUGGAGAACACAAAGAAGUGUGAUGGGUUGAACCAGCUGCCCUUUGACCCUGCUAACAACAACGAGCCCCUGCAGUUUGGUAGUGCCAGUGGCCCUCUGGUCACAGAAGGCCUCAUUGAGAAUGGAGGGGAAUCAAGCAAGAAAAGAAAGAGAACAAAUACUCCUUCAGAAAUGAUGACAGAGCUAAGUUCACAGUUCAGGACCAUACAAUGCAAAGAGAUUUUAGAUGGCUGUGGGUCUAUGAAAUAGGCUAUGCAGCCGAUAACAGUAGAACUCUGAACGUGGACUCCACUGCAAUGACACUACCUAUGUCUGAUCCAACUGCAUGGGCCACAGCAAUGAAUAAUCUUGGAAUGGCACCGCUGGGAAUUGCCGGACAACCAAUUUUACCUGACUUUGAUCCUGCUCUUGGAAUGAUGACUGGAAUUCCACCAAUAACUCCAAUGAUGCCUGGUUUGGGAAUAGUACCUCCACCAAUUCCUCCAGAUAUGCCAGUAGUAAAAGAGAUCAUACACUGUAAAAGCUGCACGCUCUUCCCUCCAAAUCCAAAUCUCCCACCUCCUGCAACCCGAGAAAGACCACCAGGAUGCAAAACAGUAUUUGUGGGUGGUCUGCCUGAAAAUGGGACAGAGCAAAUCAUCGUGGAAGUUUU